CGCACUGGUGAGUAACACGUGGAUGAUCUGCCCUUUUGUGGGGAAUACCGCUGGGAAACCGGUGACAAUACCGCAUAAGCUCGAGAGAGGAAAGCCGUAAGGCGCAGAAGGAGGAGUCCGCGGUCGAUUAGUUAGUUGGCAGGGUAAAAGCCUACCAAGACUGUGAUCGAUAGCCGGCCUGAGAGGGCACACGGCCACACUGGCACUGAAACACGGGCCAG
rnacentral:rRNA from 1 species